GGUCCCGUAGCUCAGCUGGUCAGAGCGUCGUACUAAUAAUUCUAGUAAUAGAAUCAUUCAGUGAUGCGAAGGUCGCGGGUUCGAUCCCCUCCGGGACCA
rnacentral:tRNA from 1 species